GAUUUUGUGAUGGCAUAAAAAUGCUUUCUCAUUAAUAUAACUAUAUUGUUCUAAUUGUCCUGCAAGUUCAUUGCAUGGAUCUGUGACUUAUUGAUUUCACUUUCUCAGACUUUGAUUGUCUUCUUAUCAAGUCUUCACAAAGAGAUCACAGGGUGGUGCCACUUCAUGUAAUUGGACAAGGAAAAAGACUGAUCAUUACUCAUUCUUGUGCAUUUGGUGUGGAUGUCUACAUACACUGAGAAGAAAGGAACUGGAAGGCAAUACUGUGAAUUUCAAAUGAUAACCAAUCAUAACAGCUUCCAAGGCAAAAGCUUACUGCUUCAGUCAAUAGCAGAAUAUAUGUGUCCUACAAGCUAUUACCUAUUCCGUGUUUCAGCACCAAAAACUUAAAUUGUCUAAACUAAAU